rnacentral:rRNA from 1 species
CCCUUAGAUGUUCUGGGCCGCACACGCGCUACACUGAAGGAGGCAGCGUGUACUCCUGGAUCGAAAGAUUUGGGUAACCCGCGAAUCUCCUUCGUGCUAGGGAUUGAGGUUUGCAAUUAUCCUUCAUGAACGAGGAAUUCCCAGUAAGUGCAAGUCAUAAGCUUGCGCUGACUACGUCCCUGCCCUUUGUACACACCGCCCGUCGCACCUACCGAUUGAAUGGUCCGGUGAAGACUCGGGAUCGUGGCUUAGUUGCUUAAUUGUGAUUAGACCGUGAGAACCUGUCUAAACCUUAUCAUUUAGAGGAAGGUGAAGUCGUAACA